GUAGGAUCCGAUGGAGUGAAUUAGGUGCCCCAGAGGGUCCCACUUCAAAAAAGAGGACUAGGUGGUGCUCCACCCAGCAACAGUAGCUGGGGAGGUGGUGCUCGUCAAAGCCAUGCAUGAUGACCCCUUCCAAACUCUCACCGCCCACGCGGCUCGAUUUGGCCCCGCCACUAACCGGACUCAACCGAUCCAGCCGACGGCCUACAUACAUCAAUCCAUACCCUCGGCUUUUCUACCACUCCCAAGUCAGUCAGCGGAUGGCUACAUCCACAAGUUUCCAGGGCUGCAGGUUGGAUACCUAAAAGUUUUGCGCUCAUGCUCAAAAGAAGGCAUCGUCGUGUAGAAGACUACAACAUAUAUUGAAGGCAUGAACCCAUGAAAGGGAUACAGCAGAAACAUACAAUUGUUACGGGCGGUCGGUCAGAUUUAUAAUAUUGGAUCGGCUCUCGGGAUACGGUUGUAUCGAGCAGAAUCAUGUUGCGUGGGCCAAAAGAAAAAUUCACAUGGAUCUGAACAACUGAUGUAGGACUAAAGUUCACAUGGGCAUAAGAUGGUCCCAUCCGUCUACAAAAUAUUGUCCGCUUUGGACAUACCGACACGAUUUUGUCCCUUGGAGCCAUGUUGCGUGGGUCAAAAGGUGUCUCAUGAAGGAUUGGAAGAUGUAAAACUCUUAUAAGACA
rnacentral:lncRNA from 1 species